rnacentral:piRNA from 1 species
UCCCAAACCAGGACCCAAAGUGCUGC